UAUUGUAAAAUUAUAUAGUAAAUGAUAUUGUAAAAUUAAAUAGUAAAUUCACACGAUGUUCAAAUAAUUCGAAAUAACGAUAGACCAAAAGCUGUUUAAACGAGACACAAGAAUUAAUCGUGCAUUUUAUUAAAAAGUUAAGUACGAAUAAAAGAAAGAAAAAUUUCGAACUUUUUUCGAAAGAACAUACAUUUAUUAUACAACAUACAUACAUUUAUUAUAUAUUGUGUUCUUUCAAACACAAUAAUACCUUCCAUAAAGGAGCACAGCCCAGAUGAGACUUUUUAUAGUUAAACUUUUAACGUACUCAUAGAAACGAAAUUUUUUUUUUUAAAUAGAACUGUUACAUUUUACGACACGUAUAACAUCGAACAUUUACCAACAUAGCGAUGCCAGCGUACAUAUAUAUAUACUGGUGUACUGGUCAUCUUUUUUCCACACGUUUUUAGCUUUUCAGCUGUUUGUGAAUGGGCGCCUAAUCAGCCAAUCAGAAAUGGCCGGUAUUCUAUGAAUCCUUUUCUUCAAUGCUCGAAGAGCUGGAUAUUUAUCCAAAGCUGGUGCCCCAAACAUAUACUCGUAAUUUUCAAGGGCCGCUGCAAAUACGAAGUCCGCCCAUGUCGUCUGAAAAAAGGAUUCUCCUCCAUGCGAUAGUAGCAGAUAUCUGAAACGUAUAUGAAACCAACCGUUACGUUCAUUUGUGUUUUUCCCCCCAAACGAAGAGAAAAUAAGGUGUGAAAGAAGGAGUAGCCUCUCAUAGUUCCUACAAUUUCUUCAUUCUCUUUGCUUUCUUCAAUAUUGCCUCAACAAGUUCCUGUGGUUCACGAUACUUGAAAUAUAUACAAUGUUACCAGCGUGGAAAUUGUCUUGGAAACUUGGAAAAUCUUUCAAGAGGAACAACAUUGCUAACUGAGAUUCGAGAAAGGAAAUUACCAAGAAUGUCGAGAUAUAAACAACCAUUUGUGGAAAGGUCAGGAGAAGCAGAAUUAUCGAAUAAACGUUAUAUAACUCUUAGUGAUUAAGUAAGAGAAGAGAAACGAGAAAAAAGUCUUUUAUCUAGGUCUUAAUAAAGUAUACUAUAUUUAUCUCCAUAUCAAGAAUAACAACAAGAUAUAAACAGUCUUCUAGAAAUUGAGUAAAUAUUACAUAAUUACAUCUUGAGCAAUAUUUUGCGUCUUAGCUUUUGCUUAAUCAUUAUGAUAAUCUUAAAUAUCUGUAAAUUCUUCACAGACUCUUUGCAUCUUCUAUACAGGUAUCUCAUGAUCAUGUGAUAACACACAGGAAGAAAAAAUAGAGGAAAAAACAGCGUAAAAAAAAGUUGCGUAGGAGUAUCGUCGCACUACAUCAUUCGACAAUUGAUGCACGUCAUGGCGAUCGUCACGGUUUAAAGCAGGCCAUCAAAAACACGUUUGUUAUCGUACGGAAAAAUCUGCGACGUUCCAGCUGUUCAGGUGCAUCGAAUUGUGAAUCAUCGGCGGUACGAAGCAAGGCGAGGGGCGUAAAUAGAGAAAGAAGAGAAGAGAAGGAUUCGCAUAAAUGAUAAAAUAUAAUCGUUCGUUCCUCGUCGAUGGCGGAUGGAUGGCUUUAAUCGUGGACGAUAUCGAUACGAUUAUAUUUUAUACAUUUGAAACAAAUAUAAAAGACGAGCAAAAACCAGAGAUACGAUCGUUAUGAUAUUAUUCAAUCGGUAGCCUAUUUACCUCGUUUUUUGUUCACCUUCUCUGUCUAGUAAUAAUUUUUCGAUUCGACUGGCGUGACGUUACGUUGGCGGUGUAGAAACACGAUUUUAAACACCUGCGGAUAGUUGCAUGAGUUUCGAGCGAUUCCAUUCCCUUCGAUUUAUAUUUAUGCGAUCAACGCGCGGAUCGUUAACGCAUUAUGCAGACAGCAGAUGUUACGUAAUCACACAUAUCGUAAUUGGAAAUUAGUAACGUUAUCGCGUACCAGGAUCUUCCUGUCUUUGAUCAUCGAGUAACACUUCGUUGUCCUCGCUCCUUCCGCGGAUAACCAGCGUUUAUCAUAUAGAGACAGGGAUUUGCAAAGAAUAAAAGUUGUAGAACGUUGAGAGGCGUUGAGAGAAACGUGAUGUUAUCCCGUUAUUCGUUAACGCAACGCAGUUAAAAAAAUCCCGUAGGAAGAUUACGAUAAUAGAUAACCUGAGUCGAGUGUUUGUCGGGGGAUCUAAAAGAUUCUUUCGAGUUGAGCGUCUGAGAUUGCAGAGAAGAAAAUUUGGAAGCCAUCGAAUUCGUGAUGUCGAUAGAAAUCUUCAGUUGGAAUCGUUGUAUCAUAACGUAGUCUGCUUAUUGUCGAUAAGACUUUACUAAACUAAAAGUGACUACUAAAAGUUUCUAUCCUCUAAAUUCUAUCUACGAUUCUAUAAUCUAAAAACUGACUUUUGCAAACAAACUGUAACAUUCGCUUAACGGAAAGACAUACGUAUCUUGUUUGUACUCGUCUUUUCACAAUGAAUUCUUGAACGUCUGUCUCUGUGGUGAGACAAAUGCAAAGUCAUCUCAUCAGUUACUCACCUUGCUUCAAAUCUCCAAGAGUAUCGACGAGCUCGUCGCAUAUCAUCGCAUCCCAUUCGUCCUUUCCCAUUAGAUCGUACUUCCUCGCCAAGUAUCGCGCCACAGCGUUACUCUGCGCUACCGGUUUCCCGUCUAUCUCCAGCACAGGCAGCUUUUUAUAAGGCAUUGCUAAGAACAAACAUGGCUCAUAUGAACACUGUGUAGAGGGAAACGAUCGAUAGGAUCGAUAGAAUCACAACACAGCUUCCGAGGCCGUUGCGUUCUUGUGAAUAGAUGAAUCGAAAUCAUUUCGGUUUUAAUCAACAUGACCUAGUAAAGAAAUACAGAAAUGUCUUCUUUCUCCUUUUUUCUUUUCUUACGAUUACGAUGGACAGGGUAUCGCGUGUUUUUGACUGUUGGGAAGAACCUAAAGUUUUUAAAAUCAAGGAUAAAAGAUAAUACCAGACACGGAAAAAAUAUUAGAAAAUGUACACGGUUCUUGUAAUGAAAAUUGAAAUGCAAGGAAUAUAAAUCGAAUGUCUCUUGCGAACGUAAUUUUGUGUUUUACACCGACAGGAUUGAUUUACAGACUUACGUUGAUUUUUUGUUUCUCUAUCUGCAAGCGACAUAUAAGAUUAUAUCGAAGACUAUGCUGCGUAAAACUUUUAUCAUACUAUUUACGAUAGAAAUGUCGCAACGGAAGAUCGAAUUUUAUGUCUGCUUUGUUCUUUCUACUUUUUAGCUAUGUUCUUGUUCAUUUUCGAACUGAUUUCAAUUUUUUAUCCUUUUUUUCCGACAAGUCCUAAAAAGUUUUUAAAUUAACGAGAAACGUAGAAGUAUUUUUGUAUUCCUAUUUUAAGUCACCUAUUUACGGUUUUCUCAAAAUAUUCGAAAUGCUUCGAUUCAUUGAAAACAAUAAAGAUUGCAACACAAAAAUUCGAGAAUCGUAAGUGAAUUAAGUUGGUAUUCGAUAAACACGAUAUUACGGAAGCAAAACUUAAUGAAAAGUUCGACUUUAUUCCGUAUGAAAUUUUACUUUAAGUAAGUUUAGCCUGCACGUGAAACGAAAGUUUUAUAUACAGAAAAGUUUGAGUAAAUGGCAGAUAUCUGAGAGUUGAACGAUGAAAGUAAAAAUCGAUUCUUCACGCUUACAAUCCUUGUAUUCAGGCCAGAGUUCUUCGGGGAUCCUCUCGUCGGUAUACUCGAUGCCAGUAUAUGCAAAUAUGUACCGUAUAUGUUCGGCACGACCACGGGCAUUGAAGUAGAUUAGUUUGUAGGUAUGUUCGUCGCUCAUUUUCCUUGCUCUGUCAACUUAUCGAGAAAAAUGUUACAAUUAACUCGUGUAAUUAACAGACUGUGUGCGUGUUUGUGUGUAGAGAGAACAAUUUAUUUAUAGAUGGAAUAAUUCGUAUAAUACGCAAAAUAAAUCAUUUAGAAGGCUGGAAUAUAUGUUUUUGAAACAAUUAAUUAUGUCGAAAAAUAUUUCAAACGAGAUAUAAUUAUGAAAAAAAUAAUAAUUAAAUGUAUGUAAAUGUAUGUAAUAAUAGUUAAAUGUAUGUAAAUGUAAUAAUUAAAUGUAAUUAGUUGCGAAAAAAAUAAUAAUAAAAAAUAAAUAAAUGUAAAAAAAGAAUUAAAUGUAA